rnacentral:rRNA from 1 species
GACGAACGCUGGCGGCGUGCUUAAUACAUGCAAGUCGAACGGAAAGGCCCUGCUUUUGUGGGGUGCUCGAGUGGCGAACGGGUGAGUAACACGUGAGUAUCCUGCCCUUGACUUUGGGAUAACUUCAGGAAACUGGGGCUAAUACCGCAUAUGAUCUCCUGCUGCAUGGUGGUGGUUGGAAAAUUUCGGCGGUUGGGGCUGGACUCGCGGCUUAUCAGCUUGUUGGUGGGGUAGUGGCUUACCAAGGCUUUGACGGGUAGCCGGCCUGAGAGGGUGACCGGCGACAUGGGGACUGAGAUACGGCCCAGACUCCUACGGGAGGCAGCAGUGGGGAAUAUUGCGCAAUGGGCGGAAGCCUGAUGCGGCAACGCCGCGUGCGGGAUGACGGCCUUCGGGUUGUAAACCGCUUUCGCCUGUGACGAAGCGUGAGCGACGGUAAUGGGUAAAGAAGCACCGGCUAACUACGUG